rnacentral:lncRNA from 1 species
CACAAAUAAAGCCCCUAACAAUUUGGAAUAAUUAGAUCAGAUACAUAUCAUUAACAACAGUUAGUUGACACCAUAACGUUAAAUAAUGAAUUAAAAGAGAAGAGCUACAUGGUGAAAAUAAUAGAAGUGUAGUACUUUAAGUAUUAAUUUCUCAGGAGAGGGCUUAAAGAGGAGCUGAAAAUUUAAGUAGUCAAAUUUAGAAAUGAAGAGGUUGGAUUAUUUCUACUCAAACUGAGGAGGAAAAAUG